GAUGAACGCUGGCGGCGUGCCUAAUACAUGCAAGUCGAGCGAAUGGAUUAAGAGCUUGCUCUUAUGAAGUUAGCGGCGGACGGGUGAGUAACACGUGGGUAACCUGCCCAUAAGACUGGGAUAACUCCGGGAAACCGGGGCUAAUACCGGAUAACAUUUUGAACCGCAUGGUUCGACAUUGAAAGGCGGCUUCGGCUGUAACUUACGGAUGGACCCGCGUCGCAUUAGCUAGUUGGUGAGGUAAUGGCUCACCAAGGCAACGAUGCGUAGCCGACCGGAGUGGGUGAUCGGCCACACUGGGACUGAGACACGGCCCAGACUCCUACGGGAGGCAGCAGUAGGGAAUCUUCCUCAAUGGACGAAAGUCUGACGGAGCAACGCCGCGUGAGUGAUGAAGGCUUUCGGGUCGUAAAACUCUGUUGUUAGGGAAGAACAAGUGCUAGUUGAAUAAGCUGGCACCUUGACGGUACCUAACCAGAAAGCCACGGCUAACUACGUGCCAGCAGCCGCGGUAA
rnacentral:rRNA from 1 species